CCUACGGGUGGCAGCAGUGAGGAAUAUUGGUCAAUGGGCGCGAGCCUGAACCAGCCAAGUAGCGUGAAGGAUGAAUGCCCUACGGGUUGUAAACUUCUUUUAUAAAGGAAUAAAGUGAGGCACGAGUGCCUUUUUGAAUGUACUUUAUGAAAAAGGAUCGGCUAACUCCGUGCCAGCAGCCGCGGUAAUACGGAGGAUCCGAGCGUUAUCCGGAUUUAUUGGGGUUAAAGGGAGCGUAGGUGGGCUGUUAAGUCAGUUGUUAAAGUGUGCGGCUCAACCGUAGAAGUGCAGUUGAUACUGGCAGCCUUGAGUACAGUUGAGGUAGGCGGAAUUCGUGGUGUAGCGGUGAAAUGCUUAGAUAUCACGCAGAACUCCGAUUGCGAAGGCAGCUUAC
rnacentral:rRNA from 1 species